rnacentral:ncRNA from 2 species
AGCACAAGCUAGGGGUGCCUGAUGGCGAUCGGGCUGAGAGUAAACCCUUAGAACCUGAGUCCGGCUAGUACCGGCGGAGGGAAGCUGUCACUUCGAGGA